rnacentral:rRNA from 1 species
AUUGAACGCUGGCGGCAUGCCUUACACAUGCAAGUCGAACGGCAGCGGGGACUUCGGUCCGCCGGCGAGUGGCGAACGGGUGAGUAAAGUAUCGGAACGUACCUUUCAGUGGGGGAUAACUGUCCGAAAGGACAGCUAAUACCGCAUAUUCUGUGAGCAGGAAAGCAGGGGAUCGCAAGACCUUGCGCUGAUUGAGCGGCCGAUAUCAGAUUAGCUAGUUGGUGAGGUAAAGGCUCACCAAGGCGACGAUCUGUAGCGGGUCUGAGAGGAUGAUCCGCCACACUGGAACUGAGACACGGUCCAGACUCCUACGGGAGGCAGCAGUGGGGAAUUUUGGACAAUGGGGGCAACCCUGAUCCAGCCAUGCCGCGUGAGUGAAGAAGGCCUC